GAGGCCCAGGCGGCGGCGGUGGCGGUAGCAGCAGCAGCAGCAGCAGCUCUCGGGUUGCGGUGAAGAGUGUCAGCCACUAGCGUGGAUCAGAGGCCUAAAGGGCAAGGAAAUAAAGUUUCAGUACAAAACGGUUCGAUUCAUCAAAAAGAUGCUGUAAAUGAUGAUGAUUUUGAGCCAUACUUAAGUAGCCAGACAAAUCAGAAUAACAGAUAUCCACCAAUGUCAGAUCCAUACAUGCCUAGUUACUAUGCUCCAUCCAUUGGAUUUCCAUAUUCACUUGGGGAAGCAGCAUGGUCCACAGCUGGAGACCAGCCUAUGCCAUAUCUGACAACCUAUGGACAGAUGAGUAAUGGAGAGCAUCAUUAUAUACCGGACGGUGUGUUUAGUCAGCCUGGGGCAUUAGGAAAUACCCCUCCAUUUCUUGGUCAACAUGGAUUUAACUUUUUUCCUGGUAAUGCUGAUUUCUCUACAUGGGGGACAAGUGGAUCUCAGGGACAAUCAACACAAAGUUCUGCUUAUAGUAGCAGUUAUGGUUAUCCACCUAGUUCUCUUGGGAGAGCUAUUACUGAUGGACAGGCUGGAUUUGGCAAUGAUACUUUGAGCAAGGUGCCUGGCAUUAGCAGUAUCGAGCAAGGCAUGACAGGACUGAAAAUUGGUGGUGACCUGACCGCUGCAGUGACGAAAACUGUAGGAACAGCAUUGAGCAGCAGUGGUAUGACCAGCAUCGCAACCAAUAGCGUGCCCCCAGUUAGCAGUGCGGCUCCGAAACCCACCUCCUGGGCAGCCAUUGCCAGAAAGCCCGCCAAACCUCAACCGAAACUUAAACCCAAGGGCAAUGUGGGCAUCGGGGGUUCCGCUGUGCCGCCACCUCCUAUAAAACACAACAUGAAUAUUGGAACUUGGGAUGAAAAGGGGUCAGUGGUAAAGGCUCCACCAACCCAACCAGUUCUGCCUCCUCAGACUAUAAUCCAGCAGCCUCAGCCAUUAAUUCAGCCACCACCCCUGGUGCAGAGCCAACUGCCUCAACCGCAGCCUCAGCCGCCACAAGCGCAGCAGCCGCAAGGACCUCAGCCACAGGCCCAGCCUCACCAAGUGCAGCCCCCGCAGCCGCAGCUGCAGAACCGCUGGGUGGCGCCCCGGAACAGGGGGGCCGGCUUCAACCAGAACAAUGGAGCGGGCAGUGAAAACUUUGGUCUAGGUGUCCUUCCUGUCAGCACUUCCCCGUCGAGUGUGGAAGUGCAUCCCGUGCUGGAAAAGCUAAAGGCCAUAAACAACUACAAUCCCAAAGACUUUGACUGGAACCUGAAGAACGGACGUGUGUUUAUAAUUAAGAGCUAUUCUGAGGACGACAUACACCGUUCCAUUAAGUACUCUAUCUGGUGUAGUACUGAGCAUGGGGAUAAGCGUUUGGAUGCGGCUUACCGUUCCCUGAAUGGGAAAGGCCCACUCUAUUUGCUCUUCAGUGUGAAUGGCAGCGGACACUUCUGCGGAGUGGCUGAGAUGAAGUCUGUUGUGGACUAUAAUGCGUAUGCUGGUGUCUGGUCUCAGGAUAAGUGGAAGGGCAAAUUUGAAGUUAAAUGGAUCUUUGUCAAAGAUGUCCCCAAUAACCAAUUACGGCAUAUUCGCUUAGAAAAUAAUGACAACAAACCAGUUACCAAUUCAAGGGACACUCAAGAGGUACCCCUAGAAAAAGCUAAGCAAGUGCUUAAAAUAAUUGCUACUUUCAAGCAUACCACCUCAAUCUUUGAUGACUUUGCACAUUAUGAAAAGCGUCAAGAAGAGGAGGAAGCCAUGCGUAGGGAGAGAAAUAGAAACAAACAAUAACCCUAUGAAGAUGUCCUGUUAGAAUUACAACACUAAUGAUGUAGACUCUGGAAAUGCCUAAUAAGUCAAAGAAGGCGUUAUUAAAGCUUUUUUCUGCUUAAGGUGACAUCUCUGAACUCUAAUAACACAGAAUGGACUCUUCUUGUAAUGGUUUUCAUCAGCGCGUCUGCCCUUACACUCACCAAACACACUUGAGAACUGUAACUCUGUCAAGCACUUUCUGUCCUGAGGCUUUUACCAGUAUCUGCUGUCUUUUGUAAUUAUGCAUCCUAGCUAAGGCACAGAAGACUGAAUGAAUGCAAGGAUUCAUUAACUCUUUGAAUUUGUUAAAUACUAACAGUUAACCAUUAGAAGUGGUUCAAUGAUGUAAGAGUCACACUGCUUCAACUUUUUCUUUGUUGUAGUUUUUAAAUUGUCAAUUUUUAGCUAUUU